rnacentral:rRNA from 1 species
UAGCGUAUGAUUUUGGCGCUGAGUGAGUGCUAAUGGUGGACUUAACACAUGCAAGGGUAAUAUUCUAUAUUAUUUAGAAUGCCCGUAAGGGUGAGUAUUAAUCGAUAUUAGCUAGCCUAUGUUAAGCAAAAUAAGCUUAAUAAAGUAAAUAGAUUUAUAAUUUUUAUAUAAAGAGAUACGAAGUUUUUGACACAUAGGAAUGUAUCGUAAAUGAUAAGGUAGUAGGUUUAAGGUAAAAGCUUACCUAGCCGAAGACCGGUACCAGGACUGAGAGGGUAAACUGGCACAGCGGGGGAGAGAUGACCCGAACGUUAAGGCGGCAGCAGUGAGGGAUUUUGGACAAGGUUUAAUGCACGAUCCAGUUAUGCCGUGUGGGCUAAAUUUAGCACAGUUGUAGAAAGAUUGUUCGCUUAAGAAGGCAGAGUCGAAAGGUCAGUGAAAUAAUGAUAAUAGUGAUAGUAAUUAUUGGAAAGGGCUGUCUAACUUCGUGCCAGCAGUCGCGGUAACACGGGGGGCCCAAGUGCUACUCAUCUUGAUUGGGUGUAAAGGGAAGUAAAACUGUCCAUAAAGUUUUGAGUAAAAAACUCGGGUUGAUCUGAGGAUAACUCAUUUAACUUAUGGUCUUUGUAUUUUUUUGAGGUACGUGGUAUUAUAAAUUAGGAGGUAGAAUUCUAAGAUUUAUAAGACCAUCAUGCGGAGCAAUCGGCGUACUGUGAAAGAAUAGACGUUAGUAAUCGAAAGCGUAGGGAGUGAAAAGGAUUAGAUACCCUUGUAAUCUACGCUGUGACCGAUGGAUAUUUGGCGCUGGACAUCUAGGAGGUUUUAAAUCCUUUGUGACUUGUACCGGUGGUGAAGCUUACGCGUAAAUAUCUCACCUGGGGAAAUAUGGUCGCAAGAUGUAAACCUAAGAAAAUUGGCGGAGUGUAUUACCAGCAGUGGAUCAUGUUGAUUAAUCUGAUGAUCCGCGUUUAAUCUUACCAAACCUAGAUAUAUGCCCCAAGAUAAAGUUAUAUUUAUAAGUAGUAGGUUUUUUUCAAAUUUAUAUUAAAAAUUGAGAGAAUACUUUAGGUCCAGGUGUUGCAUGGCCGCCGUCAGCUCGUGUAGUGAUAUGUCGCCUUAACUGGAUAAACGGGCGUAACCCAUGAAAUUGAGUGAAAAUAAUAAAUACAAUUUAGCAAAUCAUGCAAUAUGAUAGUUAGUAGUGGAUGACGACUGGUCGUCAUGGCCUUAAUGGUUUGGGCUUCAAAUGUGAUACAACGGUUGGUACAACAAGAUGCUAUUCAUAAGUGAUUAGGCGCUAGUCUGAUAAAACCAAUCUCUUGUUCGGAUUAUUCCCUGAAAUAGGAAUAUGAAGAUGGAAUUGCUAGUAAUCGCGGAUCAUCACACCGCGGUGAAUACUUGCCUGCGCUCGUACAUACCGCCCGUGGCCCAGCGAAAGCUGGGGUGGCUGGACGUAGUUUA